CACGUAUUUAGCCGGAGCUUCUUAGUCAGGUACCGUCAUUUUCUUCCCUGCUGAUAGAGCUUUACAUACCGAAAUACUUCUUCACUCACGCGGCGUUGCUGCAUCAGGGUUUCCCCCCAUUGUGCAAUAUUCCCCCACUGCUGCCUCCCGUAGGAGUUUGGGCCGUGUCUCAGUCCCAAUGUGGCCGUUCACUCUCUCAAGCCGGCUACUGAUCGUUGUCUUGGUAGGCCGUUACCCUGCCAACUAACUAAUCAGACGCGGGCCCAUCCUGUACCACCGGAGUUUUUCCUGCUGUACCAUGCGGUACUGUAGGCUUAUGCGGUAUUAGCAGCCGUUUCCAGCUGUUGUCCCCCUGUACAGGGCAGGUUACCCACGCGUUACUCACCCGUCCGCCACUCAGUCCUGCGCGUCUUCCCUCCGGAGAGUUCCGUCACACAGUCUUCGUUCGACUUGCAUGUGUUAGGCACGCCGCCAGCCGUUCAUCCUGAGCCAGGAUCCAAAACUCU
rnacentral:rRNA from 1 species